rnacentral:rRNA from 1 species
UACGUAGGGUGCAAGCGUUAAUCGGAAUUACUGGGCGUAAAGCGCGCGUAGGCGGGUUGGUAAGUCCGCUGUGAAAGCCCGGAGCUCAACUCCGGAGGGUCGGUGGAUACUGCCAGUCUUGAAGGUGCUAGGGGGAGAUGGAAUUACCGGUGUAGCGGUGAAAUGCGUAGAUAUCGGUAGGAACACCAGUGGCGAAGGCGGUCUCCUGGGGCAUUCUUGACGCUGAGGCGCGAAAGCUGGGGGAGCGAACGGG